UACGUAGGGAGCAAGCGUUGUCCGGAAUCAUUGGGCGUAAAGCGCGCGUAGGCGGCCCGGUAAGUCCGCUCUGAAAGUCCAGGGCUCAACCCUGGAAAGCGGGUGGAUACUGCCGGGCUAGAAUCCGGAAGAGGCGAGUGGAAUUCCUGGUGUAGCGGUGGAAUGCGCAGAUAUCAGGAGGAACACCGAUGGCGAAGGCAGGUCUCUGGGCCACUACUGACGCUGAGAAGCGAAAGCAUGGGGAGCGAACAGG
rnacentral:rRNA from 1 species